UACGGGGGGAGCAAGCGUUGUUCGGAUUUACUGGGCGUAAAGGGCGCGUAGGCGGCCACCGCAAGUCGACUGUGAAAUCUCCGGGCUUAACCCGGAAGGUCAGCCGAUACUGCGGGGCUAGAGUGCAGAAGGGGCAACUGGAAUUCUCGGUGUAGCGGUGAAAUGCGUAGAUAUCGAGAGGAACACCUGCGGCGAAGGCGGGUGCUGGGCUGACACUGACGCUGAUGUGCGAAAGCUAGGGGAGCGAACGGG
rnacentral:rRNA from 1 species